UCUACCAGCCACACCAACCUGAGCGCUCCUGAUCUCAUCUGAUCUCGGAAGCUAAGCAGGGUCUGGCUUGGUUAGUACUUGGAUGGGAGAAACAACAUCAGAAGAUACAAGUUAAUAAAGGAA
rfam:Fukomys damarensis contig133988, whole genome shotgun sequence.